UGGUGUGACAUGAUACUUGAGUAGUUCCAU
rnacentral:piRNA from 1 species